CUGCUCUAGUGAGUGUGGGGCGGGAGCUUGUUGCUGAGGGCGGAUGGCGUGUACUUUACUUUUCUGUUAUCCCCAGCGCCUAAGGGGCCGGUGACCUUCGAUGAUGUGGACGUGGGCUUCGGAAACGAAGAGUGGAAUCGCCUGGACUGCACCCAGAAGGCUCUUUACACGGACUGAUGCUAAAGAAUUAAGGGAAACACCAGCGCGCUGAGAAUCUCUCUAUACCCAGCGUGGACCUCUCAAAAUUUCAAGAUCAGAGUUGCACGCGCCACCAACUGAGCCAGCCAGACGCCCCCAACACUGGAAUCCCUUUCUUACCACAGCCUAAUCUGAUCAUCUUCCUAGAACAAAGGGAAGCGCAGCGGGGACCAGGUCUGCCGGCCACUGAGGGACGGAGGACUUCAUUUGCACCAGUGAGUGAGGGGGGCCAUUCGCUCCCUCCUUGUUGUGACCCCUGCCUCGUGCCUUUUGAAACAUGGCUGCACCCAAGGCAGAACAUGGAUCUAGGGGAUUCCUCAUUUUCUCUUGGUCUCUUAGCCGCCGGGUGGAAAUCUGAUGGGCACAGGAAUACCCGGCACACAUUCCUUUCUGGGGCUGGCCAUCAGCACCCAGAGGACGACGGCUGAUGCCAUGCCUCUGCCUGGUCUGUCUGUGACGACACUGAGGACCUCUGCCCUCAGCCAUUCCCCUUUGCCUGCUUCUUUGUUUUCUCACCCCUUACAUUCAAGGGGUUGACUUCAUCUUCAUACAUUGGCUGACUUUCCUAUUUAUUCCCUAGGUGUUUUGUUCUGUCCUUUGUCCCUUCCCUCUUAUGCUCUGUGUUUACCAGUCCACUCGGCCUUCUUUGCUGGCUCCUGUCCCUGUUCAAGCCCCCUUCCCUACCUUACUGUGAAGGGGUGGGAGGGUAAAUGCUGCACACUCCCAUUCUCUCUCUCUCUCUCUUUUUUUUUAAAUGUUCAUUUUUGAGACCGAGACAGAACAUGAACAGGGAAGGGGCAGAGAGAGAGAGGGAGACACAGAAUCCAAAGCAGGCUGCAGGCUCUGAGCUGUCAGCACAGAACCCAAUGAGGGGCUCGAACUCACGAGCUGUGAGAUCACGACCUGAGCCAAAGUUAGAUGCUUAACUGACUGAGCCACCCAGGUGCCCCUCCUAUUCUCUCUUUGAUUGUUCUGUUCUCGGGUUGGUUUUUGCUCACAGUGGCUAUCAGGUCAUGCCAUGUUUUUAUUUGUCAGAUGGUAAGAGCAGAGCCAAGAAGGUGGAGUCAGCAGUAAAGCAGGGUCUUUCUGACCACACUGAGUAUGGAGGGAAGGUGUGGGGAAAACUCCCAAAGGCUGGGCCCCAGAGAUCCAAUUUGGUAGACUUUCCUAGAGUCUCUAAGACCAGAGGUCUUAGAAGAAAAGAUCCUUCAAGUAUGGUGAGUGCAGUUAGAGAUCCACUGGGAAGUCACAACUUACUGCGUAUCAGAAAAUGUAGUGGAGAGAGGUUUGCACUGUCCCGUUCUGCAGCCCAGAGGAACUGCACUGGCAAGAGAGUGCGAUCGAUAUACAGAGUAUGAGAAAGCACCGAAAAGCAAUAAGAUUCUUGUGUAUCAGUGUGCCCACACCAGAGAGAGCCCACUCCUGCAGCAAGUGUGGGAAAUUGUGUGUCCAGGGCUGUGACUGUCCGCAGCAGAUAGAAGGCAGGUGAAUGUAAGCAAUGUGGCAAGACCUUCAGCUCUAGUUCCCAGCUUCCGACACAUGGGAAGAAGUGUCCUGAGAGCUGAGGGUGGAGAGAUAGCACCAGGAAUCACCAGGAACCAAUCACUCAAGCUGCUCAUUAGUUCUUCGUAAUAGACAAGGCUCCAAGCGUGGAAGAACCUUCGAAGACAACGAGGCCCCUUUUCCCUUUCUUCCUGAUUAGAAGGAGUAUAUGUAUAUCUGUAAGGAGUGCAGAGAGGCCUUUCCUCAGGAGGCUGCUUUUUGUUGUUGAUUACACAGUCCACACUAGAGAAAAGCUGCGUAAGAUGUAAAGCAAUAGGUUAUACCACAUUACGUAUCAGAGAGUUCACACCCCUAGUAGGCUAUAUGUGUGCAACAAGGGUGGGAGAGCUUUUAUGUAUUACAUAAUUACUGUGCGCUGUAGAGUUGACACUGGAGAGAAGCCCCACAAACAUCAGAGCUCCCAAAGCUUGGUGCCUCUGAGUAGUCUCUGGGGAAAAGCCUUUUACAUGUGGCCAUUGUGGGAAGGCCUUCAGAAAUCAGCCCCAUGUCAUCACCCAUCAGACUAUUCAGACUGCAGAGAAGCCUUAAGAGUGCCAGAGGUGUGAAAAAGCCAAAAUGAAUCUAAGGGCCUAUCAAAGAGUCCACACAGGAGAAAAACCUGGGAGUAUCGCGAAUGUGGGAAGGCCUUUAUGAGGAAUACCAACCUUAUUGAUCAUUAAAGACUCCACUUUGGGAAGAGGCAUUGACUGGGAGGGAGGAAGGAAGAAAGGUUGUUGAUAAUCAUGAGGACCAUCAACGUAGUAGGUUUCAUACAAUUUCCAAUCCCAUGAGUGUGAUGAGUGGGAAAGCAGAAAAGAUCACACCUGACUACCCCAGAAUGGACGCAGGAGACAGAUUGUGCAAGCACGCUAAGGAGGGGAGACCUUCGCUGUGGCUAAUUCCGGAGCAUGGGUGGCCACGCUGUUUUUGUAAAGGGCCAGAGAGUAAAUAUGUUGGGCUCAUGAGCUCUAUGGUUUCUGUCGUAGCUACUCAGCUCUGCUGUUGGGGCACAAAAGCAGCUAGACGGUACGUACACAAAUGAAUGUGGCUGUAUUCCAGGAAGAUUUUCUUUACAAAAACAGAGAGCUGACCAGAUCUGGCCCAUAGGUCCUACUUUGCCAACCCCUGUUCUAGAGAGAAAAACCUCUUAAGAAGCCUUAAUAAUCAGAGGGUGGGGUCACAGACUGGAUUCCUUCUGCAGAGGAAUCUUGGAACAGCAUGACCAUGGAACAGAACCUUCAGGGGAUACUCCAGCCUUGUGAGAGGGUCAACAGGAGAGGCAUGAAAGAUCCAGAAACCUGCGUUCUGCCACAGAAUAGCUGAAGGACUAGCGCCCAGUCACCUAAGAGCCACAAGCCUUUUUUUUUUUUUUUUAACGUUUGUUUAUUUUUGAGAGAGAACAUGCCAGUGGGGGACGGGCAGAGAGGGAGACAGAGGAUCUGAAGCAGGCUCUGCGUUGACAGAGAGCCUGAUGCAGGGCUUGAACUUGUGAAGUGCGAGGUCAUGACCUGAGCUGAAGUUGGAUGUUGAGUCACCCAGGAGCCCCAGGAGCCACAGGGCUUUUAUGAGAAGAGCAAGAGAGUAUAUCUGAAAGUGCUUUCAAAGUGAGUGUGGUAAACACAUUUAUUACAUUUGUUAAAUUUUUUUUUUUUUUUUUUUUUUUUUAAGUAAGCUCUACACCCACCACGGGGCUCAAACUCACCACCCUGAGAUCAAGAGUCGCACACUCUGCUGACUGAGCCAGAGCCAGCCAGGUGCCCCAGUAUGAAAGACAUCCCUGAGUAAAUUGUGUUCCCUAUUUCAACUCAUCCUAUUCCUGUGUCAUCCGCCUGCGAGUGUAGCUCUACAAUGGUAAGGACUGGCCCAGCAUUCCUAACUCUGACUGAAUAAACUGGAGAGGGGGAGGCAGAGCGUCUGGCUCCCACAUCUCCUGGGGAGGGCUUUGUCCUGAGCAGUUGCCUGGUGACAUCCAGGGGCACCGCCACCGCUCACCGCCUGUGGGAGCUGCUCUGUGCACAGCCACCAGGAGUAGGGUGUGCAGCGUGGGGGUGGGGUCCCUUGAAGUCACUCACUGAGGGUGGAGGGGGUGCCGCCCUCCCCCUGCACCUUUGCCUCUCCAGCGGCCUCUUUUGUCACUGUUGCCAUUGCCUCCCACUUCCAGCUCUUCCUGUCCCAUGUCCUUAUUCCCACACUGCAGAAUGCCACAUUGAUGUGUUUCCUUUGAGUCCCUCUACCCCCCCCCCCCCCCGCAAUGUUCCCCUGUCUUUUGGACAACCCUAGCUGAGAAAACACGGUGGGGCGAGAGGUGUGCUACCCCCAGCACUGGCCUGAGGCCCUGCUCCCCAUCCUUCGCCAGGCAGAAGUA